AGAUUGGGAAAGUAUGAGAGAGAAUGGACCAAAGAGAUUAUAUGAAGUCGGGCGGAGGGUCCGGACCUUCCAGUAAGGGUCCGGAUCGUGAAGCCCAGGUCCGGACCCUCUCUGCGUAUCAUGCAGAGAGAAUCUACGGGGUCCGGAUCCUGAAGCACAGGUCCGGACCCUCUCUGCGUAUCAUGCAGAGAGGACCUAUGGGGUCCGGAUUCUGAAGCACAGGUCCGGACCCCCUCUGCGUAUCAUGCAGAGAGGACCUACGGGGUCCGGAUCCUGAAGCACAGGUCCAGACCCUCUCUGCGUAUCUUGCAGAGAGGAUCUACGGGGU
rnacentral:lncRNA from 1 species